GGGCUCGUAGCAAAACUGGAUUGCAACGGACUCUUACUCCGCCACGACGUCGGUUCGAAUCCGACCGGGCCCA
rnacentral:tRNA from 1 species